UUUCCGUAGGUGAACCUGCGGAAGGAUCAUUACAGUUGGGGCCCCGCCCCGAUCAAGAUACCACCCCUUGCUUUUUGCGUACCUAUCGUUUCCUCGGCGGGCUUGCCUGCCGGUUGGACAACUUUAUAACCUUUUUAAAUCUUCAAUCAGCGUCUGAACAAUAUACAAUAAUUACAACUUUCAACAACGGAUCUCUUGGUUCUGGCAUCGAUGAAGAACGCAGC
rnacentral:misc_RNA from 1 species